UACGUAGGGGGCGAGCGUUGUCCGGAUUUAUUGGGCGUAAAGAGCUCGUAGGCGGUUUGGCAAGUCGGGUGUGAAAACUCCGGGCUCAACUCGGAGACGCCACUCGAUACUGCCAUGACUCGAGUCCGGUAGGGGAGUGCGGAAUUCCUGGUGUAGCGGUGAAAUGCGCAGAUAUCAGGAGGAACACCGGUGGCGAAGGCGGCACUCUGGGCCGGUACUGACGCUGAGGAGCGAAAGCCAGGGGAGCAAACGGG
rnacentral:rRNA from 1 species